rnacentral:rRNA from 2 species
CUCUUCAAAAAUUUUGAGGUUGGUUCUGCUCAGUGAAAUAGUUUAAAUAGCCGCAGUAUCUUGACUGUGCUAAGGUAGCAUAAUAAUUUGUCCUAUAAUUGAGGGCUGGAAUGAAGGAACUGACGACACUAAUUCUUUCUUUGUUUAAUUUUAGAAUUUGAUAUUUCCGUUAAAAAGCGGGGAUUUCUAGAGGGACGAUAAGACCCUAUAAAACUUUACUAAAAGCAGAAAUUAUAGAUUUAGAAAAAAUUAGUUUUGUUUGAAGUUGAGCUGGGGCGGUAAGUAAAUUUCUUUACUAAAUUUAACAUACUAUGUAUGAACAGAAAGAUCUCUAAAAAUAGGAGAAAUAGAAUAAGUUACUUUAGGGAUAACAGCAUAAUUUUUUCACAUAGAUCUUAUUGAAGAAAAAGACUUAUGACCUCGAUGUUGAAUUGGGGGGCUUACUCCAAGCAGAAAUGAAGUAAAGGGGUCUGUUCGACCUUUGAUUCCCC